GCCGGCCUGACAUGCGCAGUGCGCGAGUGCUGCGGCGGCCGGGAGGUGCCGCGGUCCCGGGCACACCUGGCGGCCUGGGACGUGGAGGAAUUCUUACGAAGUGUGGGGGGAAGAAGCCCAUCAGUAGUUUCCUAGUGUGAUGAAAUGAUUUUGGAAAUUACACUUAACAGCGGAUGGAGCUGACAUCGUGAGAGCCUGCAGCCUGGUGCCUGCGGGGCUGGAGGGCAGCUGGGCCCCUGUAAGGCCCGCGGUCGAGGUGGGUUAGGACGCGGCCCCAAACGGGUGUAUCCGCUCUGUGCCCGGUCGUCCAGUUUUCCCUCCCGAGGACGCAAGGCGCAGAAGCCGCUGGGGAAGAGGACAGGCCAGAGUCUGCUGGGUUGACACGGGGUGAAAACGUAAUUGAAAAUCUUGAGCAAAAGUGGGAUUGUUUUUGCUUUGAGGGAAGCAGCGUCGGACGCUGUGGGAAGCCUGGCGCCCCAGGCCCUCCUCGAGUAUGGGGGAGAGAGAGGUCUUUGUGGUCUUGUGGUAUGUUUUUCAUACGUUCAGAAUCUGAUUUUCAUUAAAAUGGCAAGAUCAGUACCGUCAAAUUAGGAACGACUGUCCGCUAAUCCUUCAGAAGUUGUUGGAAGUUAUGCUUUCUGUGUGUUAAACGUUAUAUCUAGACUCGCAGUUCGUACGCUUGAUGUUCCACUCAGCUCUGGCCACGCUGGCUGUCCAUCUCCCGGAACUGCAUUUCCAGGUUAAACACAAAAUGCAGCCUGAACUCCUGGUCAGUCACGCGUUUCCAAAGAUAAAGGAAAGCAGCUUCUUGUAGGGAGGAGGUGGGCGUGGCGGGGCCUGCAGAGCGGGGGCAGCUUCUCUGAAUACACGGAGCAGACCCUGCGUGACCUUUGCCUGCCGAUACCGGGACAGUCCACGUUAGGCUGUUGACCGUGCAGAGCACAGCUGGGCCCCAAGCCUGUGUUGGCCUCUCAGCAGCGAAAGCGUUGGGGAGGGUUAUAAAUCAUCCUCCUGCCUAGAACCAAGGAGGGCCCACGGGCAGGUCCUACGCGUGGACAUCAGAGCUCCUGCAGAGGCCAGCCAGCCAGGGCCUGUUUGCUCCCUGGAUAUGGGCGAGAUCAACCCAAAAGCUUAGCCGAGAUUCUGGGAAGCAGUGAGA